CCUCAGACCCAUGUGCUGUCCUGUUGAUGUAUGUGCACAGUAAAUGAUUUUUCCAGUAUCGUCCAAAGAAGAAACAUACCUGUAUUCUUGGCUUUAUAACUACAGGGAUGAGAGAUUUAGUGGAAGCACAGUAGCUGUUCAGUUGCUUUAAGAGCUGCCAGGACCAAUUUUGCAGUGUUUUUGCCAAAUGCAUUCAGAAUAAAAAGUUCAGUGGACAAAGACAAUGAUUCUUGCUGUGCUAAUGGCUGGAGCAGCUCGCUAACAAAGGACUCCUGAGUGCAAGCUUGUCCUGAGAAAGAGAAACAUUCUGUAUUGCAGAAAAACAGAGCCUUUACCAGCCUUCUGUCACAGAGGAAGUGAAGGAGAAGAGAAUAACGAACAAAGUGUUUGUAGACUGUGCAGUGAGUGCUAUGAGGGUCAUCAAAGAAUGUUUAUCUUCAGGAAAGUGUUUUGAAAUACUGAAAAUUCUGGUAUUGGUUUGCUUUUGUUCUGCUUAAGAAAAAUCGUCCAGUGAUUUUUUUCUUUUUUCUAGCCAUAGUUUUAAACUGUCAUUUGAACAUCACUUAGCAUGAUACUGUGUGUUUGUAGCUGUAGCUUCUCUUCUGUGUGUUUGUAGCUGUAGCUUCUUUUCUGUUAGUUCUUACAAACUUACUUUUUCUUCAUUUCUAGAGGUAAAUUCCUGUGAUCUAAUCCAAGCAGAUACAAGAGAGAGAAAGUGUGAUGAGGGGAGAGCCUAAGGAUUAGCAAGAUAAAAGAAGGGAGAAAAAAACCUCAUACAGACCCCCAAGCAAACUGGACAGGUUUAUUGCUCAGAGGGACAGCACCUUUUGCCGAGUCCAGCAUAUGGCCACCAGGAGCUAUGUCAGCAUCUGAGAACUCAGCAAGUCCUGAAGCAAACUGGAUUAGGUAAGAAAGAAUUUUUGUACUUAAUCUCCUAUGGCAUCUUUGUGAAAAACAAAAGUAUUGUGUUGUUCUGUCUCCCUUCCCACAAAAUAGGUAAGUCCUUGUCUUAUUCUGCUAACGUGUCAUAAUUAUAUUCCAGAUGGGCAGCUAGUAUCUAUGAAGUUUUGCUCUGCUUGCAGCUGUAUUUCUUAACCUUUAUUUAUUGAUUGAUUGAUUUCUCAAGCAAUGAAAUUAAAACUGUCAAGCUAGGCAAAAUAUCUGACUCCCAGGUUCAUUGUAACACCAAGUCCAUAGUGAGAGGACUAAUACAUUGCUCACUGAAAACAUGUAUUCAAAAUAACAUUGGUUACUGACUCUGCUUUGCAUCUCAGUGCGGCCUUCAUGCACUUAAGGCAGCACAACUGUAUUUGACCUGGGUUGCAUUAGAAGUGUUAAUCCCAUUCUGUAACAUUCCUGAAGGGUAGAACUGCCCUUGUGAUUGUGGUCUUCUUGUUCAGCUACUUCUCUUUCUACUCCUGUUCAGAAACUACUUGCUAAGCAAAGACUUUUGAACUGUAUGGUACAUGGCAUGAUGAAAUACAGAUCUCUGUGGCUGGAAAAAAUCUUAGUUGUAUUUCUGAGGGAAGUUUUCAGCCUCAUCUUAGAGAGAAACUACAGUGUUUAAUUUCUGCAGGCUUUACCUGUUAAUUUUCUUCAAAGGAAUGAUUGUUAUAAAUCAUACCUUAAAAGCUGCUAGUCUUGAGUUAGGAAUUUGUAGUGUUGAUGUUUUUGAUGAUGGGUAGUGCCUACAGUAUUGGAAGCAGAUAAGCUUUUGCAACCUUAAUGCUAUAA
rnacentral:lncRNA from 1 species